rnacentral:rRNA from 1 species
AAUCGCUAGUAAUCGUAGAUAAGCAUGCUACGGUGAAUACGUUCCCGGGUCUUGUACACACCGCCCGUCACACCACGAGAGUUUGUAACACCCGAAGCCGGUGGAGUAACCUUUUAGGAGCUAGCCGUCGAAGGUGGGACAAAUGAUUGGGGUGAAGUCGUAACAAGGUAGCCGUAUCGGAAGGUGCGGCUGGAUCACCUCCUUUCUAAGGA